rnacentral:rRNA from 1 species
AACGAACGCUGGCGGCAUGCCUAACACAUGCAAGUCGAACGAGACCUUCGGGUCUAGUUGCGCACGGGUUCGUAACGCGUGGGAACCUGCCCUUAGGUUCGGAAUAACUCCCCGAAAGGGGUGCUAAUACCGGAUAAUGUCUUCGGACCAAAGAUUUAUCGCCUUUGGAUGUGCCCGCGUUGGAUUAGCUAGUUGGUAGGUUAAAAGCCUACCAAGGCGACGAUCCAUAGCUGGUCUGAGAGGAUGAUCAGCCACACUGGGACUGAGACACGGCCCAGACUCCUACGGGAGGCAGCAGUGGGGAAUAUUGGAUAAUGGGCGAAAGCCUGAUCCAGCAAGGCCGCGUGAGUGAUGAAGGCCUUAGGGUUGUAAAGCUCUUGUACCCGGGAUGAUAAUGACAGUACCGGGAGAAUAAGCUCCGGCUAACUCCGUG